GGGUUUGGCAGUUAAAUUCAUUUUAAAGCUGGCUGCUGGGCCCGCUCGCAAGGGUUGUUUUCGGCACGGCCCGAUAAAAGUUAGUUUUUUUUCUAGCUUAUUUUCGAUGAAUGGUGUCAUUUUGUCUUGUGAAUAAGGCUCUCUGUUUGCUUCGCGAAUAACUGAUACGCUUUAGCUGAAAGUACUGUUCGCUGAUUUAAUUUAUUUUAAGAGAAAUACUGUUGAAUGACCGACAGAUAAGCUCAAGCGAACAGAGACUGAAAAAGUGUGACCACACCUAUAGUGGCACACUAGGACCUUUGUCGGCGGCUUCCGUCCUUUCCUCCCCCAUGCUCACGGAUGAGGUAGGGUGAUACCCUCCUUGCCGAUGUGUGGUUUUGAGGCAUUGGAUGAUAGGUCAAGCCUUGAAAGAAAUAUACUUGGUAGAUGCAGGUUGAGCUUGUCCCUCCAAAUAGAGGGCACAAACUUAUUCCUAUUCAUGGUGUUGUUCAUCUUCAUCGGCUUGAGGCAAGGGCGUUAGGGUACAUUUAUACUAAAAACCAAAAAGCGAAGCGAACCGAACUGAACUG
rnacentral:lncRNA from 1 species